CCCCUCGUAGUUUAAUGGAUAGAACGGAAGGUUUCUAACCUUUUAAUGGGGGUUCGAUUCCCUCCGAGGGGA
rfam:Candidatus Yanofskybacteria bacterium RIFCSPLOWO2_01_FTLL_43_22 rifcsplowo2_01_scaffold_179763, whole genome shotgun sequence.